rnacentral:rRNA from 1 species
UACGUAGGGGCCUAGCGUUGUCCGGAUUUAUUGGGCGUAAAGAGCUCGUAGGCGGUUUGGUGAGUCGGGUGUGAAAUCUCCACGCUCAACGUGGAGGGGCCACCCGAUACUGCCAUGACUAGAGUCCGGUAGGGGAGUGUGGAAUUCCCGGUGUAGCGGUGAAAUGCGCAGAUAUCGGGAGGAACACCAGUAGCGAAGGCGGCUCACUGGCCCGGUACUGACGCUGAGGCGCGAAAGCGUGGGGAGCAAACAGG